rnacentral:rRNA from 1 species
ACGCUAGCUACAGGCUUAACACAUGCAAGUCGAGGGGCAUCAGGAAGAAAGCUUGCUUUCUUUGCUGGCGACCGGCGCACGGGUGAGUAACACGUAUCCAACCUGCCCUUUACUCGGGGAUAGCCUUUCGAAAGAAAGAUUAAUACCCGAUAGCAUAAUGAUUCCGCAUGGUUUCAUUAUUAAAGGAUUCCGGUAAAGGAUGGGGAUGCGUUCCAUUAGGUUGUUGGUGAGGUAACGGCCCACCAAGCCUUCGAUGGAUAGGGGUUCUGAGAGGAAGGUCCCCCACAUUGGAACUGAGACACGGUCCAAACUCCUACGGGAGGCAGCAGUGAGGAAUAUUGGUCAAUGGGCGCUAGCCUGAACCAGCCAAGUAGCGUGAAGGAUGAAGGCUCUAUGGGUCGUAAACUUCUUUUAUAUAAGAAUAAAGUGCAGUAUGUAUACUGUUUUGUAUGUAUUAUAUGAAUAAGGAUCGGCUAACUCCGUGCCAGCAGCCGCGGUAAUACGGAGGAUCCGAGCGUUAUCCGGAUUUAUUGGGUUUAAAGGGAGCGUAGGUGGACUGGUAAGUCAGUUGUGAAAGUUUGCGGCUCAACCGUAAAAUUGCAGUUGAUACUGUCAGUCUUGAGUACAGUAGAGGUGGGCGGAAUUCGUGGUGUAGCGGUGAAAUGCUUAGAUAUCACGAAGAACUCCGAUUGCGAAGGCAGCUCACUGGACUGCAACUGACACUGAUGCUCGAAAGUGUGGGUAUCAAACAGGAUUAGAUACCCUGGUAUUCCACACAGUAAACGAUGAAUACUCGCUGUUUGCGAUAUACAGUAAGCGGCCAAGCGAAAGCAUUAAGUAUUCCACCUGGGGAGUACGCCGGCAACGGUGAAACUCAAAGGAAUUGACGGGGGCCCGCACAAGCGGAGGAACAUGUGGUUUAAUUCGAUGAUACGCGAGGAACCUUACCCGGGCUUAAAUUGCAGUGGAAUGAUGUGGAAACAUGUCAGUGAGCAAUCACCGCUGUGAAGGUGCUGCAUGGUUGUCGUCAGCUCGUGCCGUGAGGUGUCGGCUUAAGUGCCAUAACGAGCGCAACCCUUAUCUUUAGUUACUAACAGGUUAUGCUGAGGACUCUAGAGAGACUGCCGUCGUAAGAUGUGAGGAAGGUGGGGAUGACGUCAAAUCAGCACGGCCCUUACGUCCGGGGCUACACACGUGUUACAAUGGGGGGUACAGAAGGCAGCUAGCGGGUGACCGUAUGCUAAUCCCAAAAUCCUCUCUCAGUUCGGAUCGAAGUCUGCAACCCGACUUCGUGAAGCUGGAUUCGCUAGUAAUCGCGCAUCAGCCACGGCGCGGUGAAUACGUUCCCGGGCCUUGUACACACCGCCCGUCAAGCCAUGGGAGCCGGGGGUACCUGAAGUACGUAACCGCAAGGAUCGUCCUAGGGUAAAACUGGUGA